CUCCUCCCCAACUCAUUCUAUGAGGCCAACAUCAUCUUGAUACCAAAAUCUGGCAGACACACACACACACACACACACACACACACACACAUACACACACACCCCCACAAACUUCAGGCCAAUACCCUCGAUGAACAUCAAUGCAAAAAUCCUCAACAAAAUACUGGCAAACCAAAUCCAGCAGCACAUCAAAACGUUAAUCCAUCAUGAUGAAGUAGGCUUCAUCCCCAGGAUGCGAGGUUGCCUCCACAUACACAUAUCAAUUAAUCUGAUUCAUUACAUAAACAAAACUAAAGAUAAAAACCAUGUGAUUAUCUCAAUAUAUGCAGAAAAGACUUUCAAUAAAAUUCAAUGCCUCUCCAUAUUAAAAACUCUAAAAAAUCUGGGUAUUGAAGAAACAUAGCUCAAAGCGAUGAGCUGUUUUUGUACCAGUAUCAUGCUGUUUUGGUUACUGUAGCCCUGUAGUAUAGUUUGAAGUUGGGUAACAUGAUGCCUCCAGCUUCAAUCUUUUUGCUGAGGAUUGCUUGGCUAUUAGGGCUCUUUUUUUCGUUCCAUAUGAAUUUUGAAAUAGUUUGCUCUAGUUCUGUGAGGAACACCAUUGGUAAUUUCAUAGGGAUAACUUGCAUCUGUAAAUUACUUUGGGCAGUAUAGCCAUUUUAAUGAUGUUAAUUCUUCCUAUCCAUGAGCAUGAAAUAUUUUUCCAUUUGUUUGUGCCUUCUCUGAUUUCUUUGAGCAGUGUUUUGUAAUUCUUCUAGAGAUCUCCUAGAGAUCUUUCACCUCCCUGAUUAGCUGCAUUCCUAGGUAUUUUAUUUUUUCUGUGUGUAGCAAUUAUGAAUGGGAUUGUGUUCUUCAUUUGGCUCUCUGCUUGACUUGACGUAUAGGACUGCUAGUAAUUUUUGCACAUUGAUUUUGUAUGCUAAGACUUUGCUAAAGUUUAUCAGCAGAAGAGCUUUGGGGCCAAGACUGUGGGGUAUUCUAGAUAUAGAAUCAUGUCAUCUGUAAACAGAGACAGUUUGACUUCCCGUCUAUUCCACUCUUUCUUCCUGUAUUUCAAUGCCCUUCCAGUUUUGCACAUUGAGUGUAAUGCUGGCUGUGGGUUUGUCAUGGCUAGCUCUCAUCAUUUUGGCACUUCCAACUAGAAGGGCAAGAGGGGCCAGUGUUGUUGUUACCUGAAAGGUAAGUGCAGCCCACAAAAAUGCAGUGAUGAAGAAGAUAUAUGCAUAUGUUUAAGUUAAUACGAUUGAGAUAUAUUUAACAGACAGAAUCAAUAGAGUUGAUGAGGGACUGACUGGAUGUGUGGGGAGUUUAUAUCACUCCCAUAUUUUUGGCUUGGGCAACUGGGCACUCAUGAAGGAAAAAGAGGAUCCAGGGAGAGGAGGAACUUUUCUGAGGACUGGGGUAGGGCUGAACAGCUGCAUUCGAGACUGGUGGAGGGUGGGCUGGGCAUGGGAUGCACAAAUGGAAAUUCCACUGGGUCUGCAGCUCACACAUAGGCAUGACCAGCAUAGAGAUAGAGAGGCCCCAGUGCUGCUGAGUAACUGUGAUUCCCCAGGUGAUGGCAUCAGCUGAGAAGGGAAGGAAGCCCAUGUGAGGACACUGAAGAAGGAGUGAGCAGACAAUAAGAAGCCCACAGAAGACAGAGAAGGAAAAACUAGAGGGAGAAGCCAAGGCAGGCGUGUGUGGUAACAUAUAGGAACUGAGGGAGAGGACAUUUCAAGAUGUAGGGGAUGCCAUACAACAGGACUAUGUGAUGGUUUUUGGCUGUGUCCAUAGGAAGUCACAACAGGCAAGGGAAAGAAACCAGAACCCAGUCAUGGAGUUAAGAAGUGAGUCAGAGAGGAGACGGGUAGGGACAGUGAGGUAAGGCCUCUUUUGAAGGAAGUUUGGCUGAAGGAUAGACUAGCUGGACACGCGCUGGCUGUGUGGGGUAGAGGGAGGAAUGAUGGAGGGUAGGAGAGCCUUGAGCCUGUGAGAAGAGUCCCCUAGAAUAGAGAAGCUGAGGUUAAAGUUGUGGAAGAGAGUGGGGAUAGCUGAGUGACAGAUAAUCACGAGAAGAAAAGGAGAUCCAGAAUCAUGACAGAGAGAUGACCUUUGCCAAGAGCACAGCCGUCUUUCCCUGUCACAGAGAAGUAGGAGAAAACGAUUGGUUUUCAAGAAUUGGUUUGUAGCACAAUAUUUUAACUAUGUCCUUUAAAAAGUUUCUCCACAGACACUACCCAAAGCAGUCCUUCACUACAGUGGCAGACAGACCUGAAAAUUUUCAUCUGAAGCAGCAGAGUGAACUGCAGAGUCAGGUCACCAACCAGUGUGGAGGCUAACAGCAGGCCUCUUUGGGGAUUCCAGGUGGAAGUGUUGGACAUCUGUAGUAUUCCUGGUCUCGAAUCAUCCUGAUAUUCUUCAUUUUGUUAUUCACAUUGGACUAGGCAGGAACAAAGAUCACCACAACUGGCUCCCCUUCAACUGUGUUAGAUGGCAGCUUGCCUUCAGUACGGUGAAACACAUUAGUUAAGACUGGGAUUGUGCAUGGCAGGACUUUCUACAAGGACACCCAGUCUCCUUAAUAAACAAGAGAUGCUCUCUUUCCAGAAGUUCUCUUGCCUGACACAGCAUAGGAAGAUGCUGAACGGCCACACAGUGAUCCAUUGAGAUAGACUCUCACUAUGUUGACCAGGCUGGUCUUGAACUCUUGGCACCCGAGCGAUCCUUUUGCCUGGAAUCCCAAAGUGUCAGAUUUACUGAAGAAUAUUUCAUUGUAAUUACUUUUUAUACUUUAUAGGUCAAGAGCUCUGUUUUAAAGACAAAAUUUAUUGAAUAUGCUUUUUCAAACAAA
rnacentral:lncRNA from 1 species